GACGAACGCUGGCGGCGUGCUUAACACAUGCAAGUCGAACGGAAAGGCCCUGCUUUUGUGGGGUGCUCGAGUGGCGAACGGGUGAGUAACACGUGAGAAACCUGCCCUUGACUUUGGGAUAACUUCAGGAAACUGGGGCUAAUACCGGAUAGGAGCUCCUGCUGCAUGGUGGGGGUUGGAAAGUUUCGGCGGUUGGGGAUGGACUCGCGGCUUAUCAGCUUGUUGGUGGGGUAGAGGCUUACCAAGGCUUUGACGGGUAGCCGGCCUGAGAGGGUGACCGGCCACAUUGGGACUGAGAUACGGCCCAGACUCCUACGGGAGGCAGCAGUGGGGAAUAUUGCACAAUGGGCGGAAGCCUGAUGCAGCAACGCCGCGUGCGGGAUGACGGCCUUCGGGUUGUAAACCGCUUUCGCCUGUGACGAAGCGUGAGUGACGGUAAUGGGUAAAGAAGCACCGGCUAACUACGUG
rnacentral:rRNA from 1 species